rnacentral:lncRNA from 1 species
AUGCAUUUUCAAACAAACCGAAAUCGGUAACCAAAUUCACAACAGUAAAUUGACCUCAUCAAUCAUAAGCUUGAACGCUUGAAACGUUCUUUGAAUUCGUCGAAAUCGCCUUAUUAUGAGGAACGUCGUGUAAUACUCAGUAGUACCAACAUUGUGCGCAAUGUCAUAGUAAAUAAGUAUACAUUAACUAAAUAAUACUUUGACUGA